UACGUAGGUGGCAAGCGUUGUUCGGAAUUAUUGGGCGUAAAGAGCUCGUAGGCGGUUUGUCGCGUCUGCCGUGAAAGUCCGGGGCUCAACUCCGGAUCUGCGGUGGGUACGGGCAGACUAGAGUGAUGUAGGGGAGACUGGAAUUCCUGGUGUAGCGGUGAAAUGCGCAGAUAUCAGGAGGAACACCGAUGGCGAAGGCAGGUCUCUGGGCAUUAACUGACGCUGAGAAGCGAAAGCAUGGGGAGCGAACAGG
rnacentral:rRNA from 1 species